GAAAAUGUGAUAAAUUUACUUCUUGACAUUUUCUUCAAGUCAUUUAUUUGAAGAAGAAUAUUAGUAGUAAUACGAUGGCACAAGUUCAAAAUGGCGGCCAACCAAACCGGUUUGGCCGGUUUCGUGCGUGUGCGCAUGUGUGUUCAGGUGCUGGGGGUAUGCGAGUUCAUGUGUGGAAACACACAGGGUGUCAGAGAGGUUAUAUGAGUUCAUGUGUUUUUAACUUAAUUUAAUCAAACCAUAAGGUUUUUAAUUAAACUAUUUUUUGUCACUUUGGCGUGUCUCAACAUUCAUUUAUACAGACAUAUGUGUCCUUAAGAGCAAUUCUUUGUUUUUGCGUGUAGGGGUGGAAGCUGUUUUUGUUCACAGUGCGCUUUAACAAAGUGCGAAUGCUUUAUAUUUACAUCUAGUCAAAAGUGUUGGUAAUAGUGUUUUAAUCACACUAAUUUUGUGAUUCUGACAAUGUCUCAGCAGGCAGUGAUGCAAGUAUUUUAUUUUAUAAACCACUCAAAUGGGAAUUUCUUCUGAAUGGACAAUGUCAGCCUGUUCACAAGUCUUUCAUUUAAUCAAACCACUAGUUUUAAUUUAACUAGUUUUUACGCAUCUACUGGGGUUUCUUUCACGGGUUGAUGCGAUCAUUUUAUUUAAAAAUCAGGAUUUCGGAAUGUUGAACUAAGAGGGAGAUGGAGCCAGCUAGUUUUUAACACAGUAAAUGGUCACAAAUAACAUUCAGACCCUUUAGAAAAUAAAUGCUAUAAGCAGGCAGUAUCACUCUUUUCAAACUAAUCGUGUUUUAAUCAAACUCAUUUUGUGAUUCUGAUGUUACAGCAGGCAGUGAUGCAACCAUUUUAUUUAUUUAAAAACGGAUCAUUUUCUUCCGUAAGGAGUUUCAUGGUUUCAGAGUAGUUUUUAACACAACAGAUGGUCGCAAAUAACAUUCAGCCCUUUAGAAAAUAAAUGCUGCAGUGAUACUUCUAAAACCAGUCGCACAGACCCGCUCCGUCUUUUCAACAGCCGGUUAAUUGUUUGAAUUUGUUCAGGAUUGCAAAAGCCCACUGAGGGUAUCAUUUAAUUGUUGUGAUUCCUUAGGAAAAGGUAAAAGAUAGGUGUAUCACUUAGCUGUUGAGAGUACCAUGUGAACAAGGGCCUGACCUAUUGUUUAAAGUGGCCGGUAUCGGCUCUUUUUGUAAUUCCUCGAGAAGGUAAAAAGGUAAAAGGGGCAGGUGUAGCAGUCGGGUGGGGACCCCGCCUAUUGUCUGAAGUAUCGGCUCAUUUGUAAUUCCUUGAGAAGGCAAAAGCCCUGAAGGGUCUCAUUUAAAUUGGCUGGAGACAUACCUUUCUUUUUGGAAACACCCAUCCUAUAUAAGACACGCUCAGAGCCUGAAACCCUUAGCCAUUUACCCGUCAAGAUUCGCUGCGGAGCAUACCAUUUUCUUUGAGAUCAUCAAAACUAACAUCGUUCUUUAUAACAAGGACAUCGUAAACGGUAAGUAAAACAAAACCUAUUAUUGUAUUUUUAAAGGUGUUAUGUUAACAUAUUAUAGGAUAUUCAAACAAUUUUUUUUCCUAAAACAAAAGCUUAAUUUUUAGGAGUUCGGGAGAACGGCGCAGGACCCGUUUCUUUAGAAACGGGCGCUUUUACAGCUGGAACGAGUUCUCUAACAAGCACAAGGGUUAACAAACUGAGCAGGAAAACAUUCAGACACAGAGACCACAGAGCCCAACCUUACAACAGAGCCACGCCAGAGAACCGUGUGUGUGGAGAAGCAGGACCGUCCGGAAUAACGCACACUACAAGGCUGCAGAACAGUACCCCUCCUCAUAAUGAUCAGGACACCGUACGAUCCCUGACGUUUUUGGAACGUUUAAGCAGUAUCGACCUCCCAGAACAACAAAAACCUGGAGCUUUGUACAACAGCGGAGAGUCAGAACCGAUCUUCAUCAGCGGACCUGCAACACCCCCGAGUGAG